rnacentral:rRNA from 1 species
GACAGAGGGUGCGAACGUUGUUCGGAAUUACUGGGCGUAAAGCGCGUGUAGGCGGCAGCGCAAGUCGGGCGUGAAAUCCCACGGCUCAACCGUGGAAGUGCACUCGAAACUGCGCAGCUAGAGUCCUGGAGAGGAAGGUGGAAUACUUGGUGUAGAGGUGAAAUUCGUAGAUAUCAAGUGGAACACCGGUGGCGAAGGCGGCCUUCUGGACGGUGACUGACGCUGAGACGCGAAAGCGUGGGGAGCAAACAGG